CAACUCUUCUCUUUGUCUCUCUUGCAGGUUCUUGGCGACCAUUCAACUGGUUCUAUUUCUUUGUUGCCGCAAGAAUAUUUCUCUCUAUCGGCCGCCAAAGGUUUAUUUUCCUUUCUCCAUCGAAACCUAUGCCCUACGAUUUCAUACAUAAUCGUCGGUUUCCCAAAGUUGGAGAAGAAAAUGGAAAGUACGUGGUCCUGUUGUACAGUGAUAAAAAACAGGUAUUCUAUAAUGAUGAGGCAAACUAUGGAGUAUUCUUGGAUGCUAUAACAUGAUAAAGUAGAUUGAGGUUCAUCUGUCAUUGUAGAUGAGGCAAACAGUGAAAUAAUCAGAAAAAAAAAAAUUUGCCGGAAAGUGUCGUCGUGGACUAUCGUGAGUGGCGGCGCGUAGCGGCUAGCGCCGGUUCGGAGCAGACACACACUGGGAAGAGUAGUCGAGGUCCAGUCAACGUUGGAAAGGGGAAAGUCAACGAGUAAACUAGGCGCUUUCCUUGUUAAUCCAUGGUCAAAGCACGCUAGCCAACCCCACCGGAAAAACUAACAUAGAUCACUAGGAAAGUAGAAGAUCUGUCAACGAUGGAGGCUUGUCUUCCCUGACUACUUCCUCAGGAACACGAAAAAGGUCGCGAACUACCCGAAUGCGAAAUCCACUAUGGUCCACCAUUCCACGUGAGCAGGGGCGGAGCCAGAAUUUCAAGUCUACCGGGUUAAAAAUAUUUUCACAAAACUAAUAUAUAUAACACAAUGCUUUUUAAAUAGUCCCCUAUAUAUUAAAAAUAUUAAUUGUUUAAGCACAACGAAACAAAUUAUGAAAUUAGCUCAUCGUCAAA